UUAACAUCCCGCCCGCUCAGA
rnacentral:piRNA from 1 species